CAGUAGCCACGGUAAUACGAGGGGGGCAAGCGUUGUUCGGAAUUAUUGGGCGUAAAGGGUGCGUAGGCGGCUUGACAAGUCUUGUGUGAAAUCUAUGGGCUCAACCCAUAGUCUGCACGGGAAACUGUCGGGCUUGAGAAUGGGAGAGGUGAGUGGAAUUUCCGGUGUAGCGGUGAAAUGCGUAGAUAUCGGAAGGAACACCUGUGGCGAAAGCGGCUCACUGGACCAUUUCUGACGCUGAUGCACGAAAGCUAGGGGAGCAAACAGGAUUAGAUACCCCCGUAGUCCCUGUCUCUUAUAA
rnacentral:rRNA from 1 species